GACGUAGGAGGCGAGCGUUGUCCGGAUUCAUUGGGCGUAAAGAGCGCGCAGGCGGCUUGGUAAGUCGGAUGUGAAAUCCCGAGGCUCAACCUCGGGUCUGCAUCCGAUACUGCCCGGCUAGAGGUAGGUAGGGGAGAUCGGAAUUCCUGGUGUAGCGGUGAAAUGCGCAGAUAUCAGGAGGAACACCGGUGGCGAAGGCGGAUCUCUGGGCCUUACCUGACGCUCAGGCGCGAAAGCGUGGGGAGCAAACAGG
rnacentral:rRNA from 1 species